GAUGAACGCUGGCGGCGUGCCUAAUACAUGCAAGUCGAGCGAACAGAUGAGGAGCUUGCUCCUCUGACGUUAGCGGCGGACGGGUGAGUAACACGUGGAUAAUCUACCUAUAAGACUGGGAUAACUUCGGGAAACCGGAGCUAAUACGGGAUAAUAUAUUGAACCGCAUGGUUCAAUAGUGAAAGACGGUUUUGCUGUAACUUAUAGAUGGAUCCGCGCCGCAUUGGCUAGUUGGUAAGGUAACGGCUUACCAAGGCAACGAUGCGUAGCCGACCUGAGAGGGUGAUCGGCCACACUGGAACUGAGACACGUUCCAGACUCCUACGGGAGGCAGCAGUAGGGAAUCUUCCGCAAUGGGCGAAAGCCUGUCGGAGCAACGCCGCGUGAGUGAUGAAGGUCUUCGGAUCGUAAAACUCUGUUAUUAGGUAAGAACAAAUGUGUAAGUAACUAUGCACGUCUUGACGGUACCUAAUCAGAAAGCCACGGCUAACUACGUG
rnacentral:rRNA from 1 species